rnacentral:rRNA from 1 species
AGCGAACGCUGGCGGCAGGCCUAACACAUGCAAGUCGAACGAACCUUUCGGGGUUAGUGGCGGACGGGUGAGUAACACGUGGGAACGUGCCUUUAGGUUCGGAAUAACUCAGGGAAACUUGUGCUAAUACCGAAUGUGCCCUUCGGGGGAAAGAUUUAUCGCCUUUAGAGCGGCCCGCGUCUGAUUAGCUAGUUGGUUGAGGUAAUGGCUCACCAAGGCGACGAUCAGUAGCUGGUCUGAGAGGAGGAUCAGCCACAUUGGGACUGAGACACGGCCCAAACUCCUACGGGAGGCAGCAGUGGGGAAUCUUGCGGAAUGGGCGAAAGCCUGACGCAGCCAUGCCGCGUGAAUGAUGAAGGUCUUAGGAUUGUAAAAUUCUUUCACCGGGGACGAUAAUGACGGUACCCGGAGAAGAAGCCCCGGCUAACUUCGUG